rnacentral:rRNA from 1 species
ACCGGCGCACGGGUGAGUAACACGUAUCCAACCUGCCGAUGACUCGGGGAUAGCCUUUCGAAAGAAAGAUUAAUACCCGAUGGCAUAGUUCUUCCGCAUGGUAGAACUAUUAAAGAAUUUCGGUCAUCGAUGGGGAUGCGUUCCAUUAGGUUGUUGGCGGGGUAACGGCCCACCAAGCCUUCGAUGGAUAGGGGUUCUGAGAGGAAGGUCCCCCACAUUGGAACUGAGACACGGUCCAAACUCCUACGGGAGGCAGCAUG